ACAUUUGCAUUGAAGAGAAAUAGUAGGUUGAAAGUUAUUUAUAGAGAGCUAUUGAUAGGUGGAAAAUAGUAAUAACUACAUCUGAACUCGUCUCUGAGCUUACUAGGAUGAAAGUAUAGUAGUCUUAGUCGGAUUGACCCGUUAUAGUCUUUUGAGUGGAUAGUAAAAAUUGCUGUCAAAUAGAGUGGUACCGCGAACAAACCCUUCGUCUCUAUA
rnacentral:ncRNA from 1 species